AUACCAUGUUUCGUACAUAAACCUGCUAGCAAAGCUUCAAAACUGGGUAGCGAAAAAGUUGCGUUGGUAAAAGCAGUGUCGUUCCUAGUUCAAUUGGUUGUAAUCCAAAAGUAUGAGUUAAAAAAAUAGUAUAGUUUCAAAUCAAAUUUGACAAGAAGUUUUUAAAUGUUUCAUUUCGUGUAACAAGAUGAUCGACUUCAGGAAACGGUGAUAAGAACACAGCUCUUCAUCGAUCUCUUGGUCAUUAUAUAAGUCAUCAUAAUUGAUUGCUUAAGAGUCCAAAGCUUAUAUACAAGCUACCAGAUCUCUAACAACAUUUAGUUCACAAGGCAGCAAUUUCGCAAAGGGAAUGGUAAAGAAAAGUUAUCUAAUUUCAAACGGCAACCUUACAAGGAUAUCAGCCAUACAAAGUUUAAUUGAUUCUUCCGACUAAUUUUUACCCAAGAAAGUAUAUAAUUUCAAUUGUGAAGCAAUUAACCCAUCCAUAACCAAGACUGACCAGCAAAAUAUAUAAAAUAGCCAAAACACCCCAAAAAUUCGUCAGCUACACAAAACACAAAAAUCCAUACAAUGUGGGGUAGGGCGGGAGUUAUAAGUAGAAAUUAAAACCACUUAACAUCUUGUAAUUUAUUAGCUUUGUUUACCUAAUUAGCCCCAUGAAUGAUACAUGGGGGAAUAAAUAUGCUGACAAAGGCAGAACAGUGUAUUGGCUCCGGUGUCGACCAUUCCACAGCAGCACGACUUUAACGCUUCAUGAAGCCGGGUGACAAGGCAAGACAGCAGCAGUAAGGACAGAAAACAGCAGGAGUAUUUUAGAUAGAAAACUAUGGCAGUCAUAAUUCUUAUCGAGACAGAAGUGUACAAACACCCACACCAACUUUCUACUCACAGCUAGUAACGAACGACUAUGCUUAACUGUCCCAUUGCUAUGUCCCUUCGUUCAGCAUAGUGCCAGUACGUCGGCGUAGAGAGUUUGGUGGUAUAGAAAAUGGAAUAUUGCCUAAAUGCUCAUAAUUCACAGUAGCGCAUAAUAUAUUUACGUUUUCUCUUGCGACGUAAGUUUUUUUUUGGUCUUUGUAUUUAUUGCUUUUGAGACGAUUUGACUGGCCUUCGUUGGGUCGCAGUCGCCUUAGAUUGCUGGCUGUUUGAUGGUGGCGUUAAAAUCGUUUAAGACACAACAUAAAUAAAAUCUGAAGCGUGUGAUGUGGUCGAGCAAUAAAUAAUAAAGCACGAGUUAUGUACGUUGCGAAUAAUAUGGAAUGAGCAAAGGAGCAGACAGUUAGACAAUAACUUCCUCUAGCGCAUAAAAUAAAGCAAUAUCAAGCAAAUCCAUUGCAGCAAUUUAGUCAGGCUCGUUGUUUAUUUGCAGUUCAUGGUCGUAACGUUUUAUUUUUUGGUGCUCGUCUUCGACUUUGUGAGCUUUCUUCUUUCUAAUUUUUCAAUGGUUUUGCCAGAUUUCUUACAAACACUUGAUUUCGGUUGAGGUUAUCUGCUGAAGCUCGCAGUUUGGCCGGUUAGUGGCAGUAUUCCUUCAGUUAUGCUUCUAUUAUAAUUGUACAAGGUUUGUCUGGAAAGUAAUAGGACUGAUUAUCUUCCGCCACGACUGUACUUUGGAGCGUGCCCGCACUAACUGGAUUUGGUAGAGGGCGUUUCUAGCUAACGAACAAACGGCUGAUCAGUUGUCUUCGAGCAUCUGGAGAGUCAGGAAAAACAUUUUCGCGCGACGUGCUAGUGGUGCAAGCCGAAAAGAAGAGAUAGGCGAUUAAAUUCUGUGUGAAAUUCGGAAAAUCUGCGACAGAGACGUUUGAUAUGACCAAGCAGGCUUACCCAGAUGUUGCUUUAGCAAGAAGUGGUGUGUUUCGGUUACACAAGGCCUUUUUGGAGGAGUAAAUCCAAAGAGAAAAUAAUGCUCAUUGUCUUUUUUGACAUCAAAAGCAUCAUCCACCACGAAUAUGUUCCUCCUGGACAAACCGUCAACGUCAAGUUUUACGUGGAAGCCCUCAAGACAAUCAAACGGAGGAUCAAUCGGGUCCGACAAGACAUCGCAGCCGAUUGGAAGUUGCACCACGACAACGUCCCGGCUCACACCGCCUUUUUUGUGAACAUAUGUAUAUUGUGAACCGCAACCUAACCAAGGCCGGUAUCCCAACGCUUCCGCAACCGCUCUACUACUCAGAUGUGGCCUUCCGGACUGUUUUAUGUUUCCUUGCCCGAAAAGGCCGAUAAAAGGAAAGCAUUUUAAGACAACAGAGGCAAUGGGCUUUUCGAAAUGAAAUCUUAAUUCUAUAUGUUUGCCGGACAAGAGUAUCCAAAAGAUCUAAAAAAUUAUUUUGGAGGCCUGAAAGUUAAGUUGAUACAGAAAGCGGGGGCCACGCAGCUAAUCGCAAAAAAUUAUACCAAUUUUAAAUGAAUUCAGCUUCGAAUUAUCCUACAUCUGUCAUACUCUCCUAGUCGAGCUUUCAGAGAGAGAAUUGUCAAGUCUGAUGCCUAUUUUGGUUGGAUCUCAGUGCUAUACCGGUGAGGCAUUUUUUUCUUACGGAACAUCUAGCAAAUCAAUUGUUGAAAACAUAUACAUAUUUGCAUAUGUGUAGCAACAAGUUUGUAAAUAUGUGGCUCAAACUAGAGAAUAUCCAAUCAUAUCUUCUAUAUAUGUAUACCUAUAGACGUCAAAAUUUCGUACCCAUUUAUCAAAGCAAACACACUGAUUUAUAGAUAUGUAAAUAUGUUUGUGUCCAUGUAUGAGAUUUGCCCACAACCCAUGGUAAAGUCCGUGCUCAUGGUGCGAAAGCUCAUAAUAAUUUAUGAGUGCCAUCAGCAACCCUUAAACCUUAAAUGAUAAAUGGCGUGCCAGGCUGUCGGGCGCUGUGUGUUGUGAACCCCAAAAACUUGCAGCCAGCAAGACGAGCUUAACAGCGAAAUGUUCUUCUCGCCCCCAAAACAGCUGCCACUUGUGUUGACCCAUCCCAAGUGUUAAGGUUCAACAAUGUACGAAUGUGUGUUUUUGAUAUUGCAUGUGAGUUUCUAGUAAGUGUGUGUGUAUUGUAUAAUAUAGUGUUAUAAUUUUACUAGUUGGCAUUCGUUGCAAUUUCUUUGUUUCUUUCGUUUUUCCAUACCUUGCAGCUUUCUCACUUGCGACUUUAACUGACAUUUGCUGCCGUCACUUGUCCACUGUCAAAGUCUUUUUCCGACUUCAACUCUGCAAAACCUUGACAUUUAUACCAAGCCGUUUCCGUUAGGAUGGGAUCUGCUUAUUUGGACAAUGUUGCUUCAACAAUAAAAUUUAUAGCUGAAAAGUCAGUAUUAAGAAUGGUUAUCCGAUACUUUGUGACAUAAAACCCGGAAAUUGUAAAUAAA